AUAAUAGUUCAUGCAUACGAGAUUCAUGCAUAGUUAAAUUACGCAUUCUCAUUUAAUUGAGAAUUUUCCCUCGAUUUAAAGUCUUACGUUAUUUUCUCGGAUUAAAGGUCGAGCGCAAGAAUAAGAGCUCGUCAAGGAGUCACUAAUCUGUAGCAAAGCUUUGCUAUCAGGUUGAGCAGCUGCCGAUGGUGAUGAAGUGACGAGCGGGACUCUUUGUCUUAUUAUGUAUUAAUGAACUCUAGGGUUACAUGUCUUCAUACAUGUAAUCAGAACCUUAUUCCGCUGCGUACUCAGAAGUUUUAUGUUAUUUUGGAUAAGUCGGAGUUAUCCGAACUUACUAGUUAUUUGAGUCUAUACGACUAAAACUCCGUUAUAUUAUAAAUAUCCCUGUUGUUAACAAUGA